AAAAAGACAAAACCUAGAUUUCCGUGUCCAACUUUGACUGUCUGUCUUAUAUAAUUUUUUUUAUAAUUCGUACUUUAUUGUUGUUAGAUGAUAAAAUAUGAUUAAUAUUUUAUGCGUGACUUGUCUUUUUAAUUUUUUUCAUAAUUUUUUUAAAUAAGACGAAUGGUCAAACAUUGGGCACGGAAACCAAUAUUUGUUUUUUUA
rfam:Oryza glumipatula chromosome 8, whole genome shotgun sequence.